rfam:Methanosarcina sp. Ant1 MSANT_contig000333, whole genome shotgun sequence.
GUCAACUACCCGCCAAUAAAUUGGCAGGCAUGUAAAAGUGUCUAGGUUGACCAGAUCACUGAUUGGGAGGAAACAAUAUCAGUAAACGAUAGACAAGAAAUAGUUACCUUCAAAUAUCGCCUCAGUUUGAAGCUCUAAGGAUACAAAUUAAACAAUCUUAAAGGGUUAUAGAUAGUGUUUGUAUCGCAAAACCUUGUUAUAUCAGAUCGAGAGGAGGUCGGA